rnacentral:lncRNA from 1 species
CAGCUAUUCAUGCAUGUGCAGUCUUGUAUUUGUGGUUGCAAGGAAAACCAUGUUUUGCUUUUCGCCCUGUAAAUGAAAACGUAGUUGCUGAAGCUGCAUGUGAUGGAGUUGUUAUUUUCUACCAGAUCCUCUUGGACUUCAAGGGAAAAAAAAAGGCACUUCUGCACAAAGCAUCUAACCUCCGCUGAAGCUCACAGAGAUUUCUGAGGUCCAAUGGUAUGUCAGUGAUCGCUGCUCAGGAGUCUGUUCUUCACCUGUACUUCCAGAGCUCUUUUCUUGAGGAUUUAGCCAAUUUCUCACUGCCACGCUUAAAUUUGACUCAAGUGGACUAUGGACACAUGUAACACAGAGGACAGACUCUUCAGUCUGUUGUGAUAGGACAAGGGGAAAUGGUUUCAAACUAAAUCAGGGGAAAUUUAUAUUGGAUGUAAGAGAAAAGAUUUCACAGUAAGGAUAAUGAAGCACUACAUCAGGUUUUCCAGAGAGGUAAUUGAUGCUGCUCUGCCCCAUCCCUGGUGCAGAAGGAUGAAAUUCUCAUUUUUGUCCUCUGGUGAUCAAUGGAAAAACCACAGUGUAUUUCGGCAGGAACAGCAAAGCAUGCCUAAUGCUUCUUCCCCAGAGAAAACAGUAAUACUUAACAAUUCCCACUGCAGCAGCAAAGUCCCUCACUAUCUGUGCAGGCUGGUGGUGAUCUGAAGAAAGGUCACGUACAGGUCACAGAUUUCCCUUUGAACAGAUCCAGGAGCCCCUGUACCCUGCAAAAGUGGCGGUGAAAAGCACUCAAAGUAUCGCAGCUGUCAUUCUAGAUCACAGGUUCCAGCAGGUAUGGACAUGUAUUAUCUUGCUUCCCAAUCAGCUCUGCCCUCUGUUCACCCCACAGCCCGAUUUUGUGGAUUCAGGAAACUUCCUACAUUCAAGCUGCACUCCAAGCUCACCGGUUUCAGCAGGAUGUCAGGG